GUCAUACGUGAGAGGAUACAACUGUCUGCAGUUUUCCCUUCAGAAGGAGAUGUUACAAUUCAGUUUUACUAUCCAGACGCCUCUCGGAAACGCGACUGAAUCACUCUUCUUGAUAUCACACAGUCCAGCUGUUGUAAUAACAGCCUCGUCUAAUGGGAAAAUAGGAGACUACAUCACCCAAUCCACCACAUUUUUGUUAGCUGGAUAGGAGCUGAAGAUAGUGGAAAUUGACCGUAAAGCGAGAGAGGGUUAUGGGAUCGGGAAAAGACCUCAAGUCACAGCUGUGCCAUAUGACUCUUUUGACAAUUUAACACCUGCUGGAGUCAACUAAGCUGAAACAAGUGUUCCCUGAGCCUGCAUGGACACUGUCGACCCAAGUGUUUCCUUUGACUCUAUGCGCUCUCCGGCCUCCACCUCUACCUUGAUCUGCACAGCAGUGAGUGAUACUAGGCAGGACUUGAGGAGGCUGAUCCAAGGUCUACAGUCAGCUGUUGAUCUGGUUGAGUCUGGACCCAUAGCAAACUGCAUAAACAUAGUAAGGUCCAGGGUGCCGCAAUGUGCUUUGAGGACCUUCAACAGAUGAGCAUUCAAUCCACAUAAACAACUCGAUAUUGUAUUUGUGGAUUCAUGCAGAAUAGGGGAGGGAUCUGUUGACACUGGUGGUCCUACCUGAGAGUUUCUCAGGCUGCUUAUGAAGGAACUCCUGGAUUCAAGAUAUUUUGUUGGACCCGAGAACGGCAAGAGCCUUGCUCUUGAUUCCCUUGGCUUAUCCAGAGGAACGUACAAGGUGUUAGGGAUGAUCAUUUCAGGCUGCCUUGGGACCCCGUGUGUUGGCCAGAAGGCUGUAGUCACAGCUCUCAGGGAUCUCUGCUCCACCAGUGAACAUAGAAGAGGUAUAUGACCCUGAGCUGCAUGACAAGCUGGACAAGAUCCAAAUGGCAGAAACCAUUGCAGAGCAACACACAGCCAUGUUAUAAGCUUCGAACAGCCUCCACAUGCUUGGUGCCUUAAGCAAGGUUUCAACCCUCGAAGAGCGCCAGGAUCUUGUAAAUGCAGCGCUAAAAUAUUAUCUAGAGGGAAGGAUGGAGAUUCCUCUCAAACAACUGAAAGAAGGACUGGAGACUUUGGGGGUGCCAUGAGGGAGCACUCUUCUAUUAUAGAGGAACUCUUGUGGUGGUCCCCCCAGCUUGUCAGUUGCCUCCUUGUUGGACCUCUUCACGAUACAUUACUGCCCGAGAGGAACUAACAGAAGAGCCUUGGAGGAGGUUGCAGUUGGUCACUGGUGGGAUUGGAUCAUUGAAGUCGAAGAUGGAGAUGCACCAGUGGAGGUGGAUGGUGGGGACACAAUUAAAGUCACCCUAGAGAGUGUCCUUGUGUUUGCUUCUGGGGCAUCUUCCAUACCCGUAUUUGGAUUUAAAGAGAAUCCAAAUAUCACAUUUCUCCAUGAGAACAUAAAUGGUAGCUGGCAGGUGUUUCCAGAAGAAAACACAUGCACCAUUACUGUGAAGUUACCGAUUGGACAUGAAUAUGAAGAGUUUUGCCAUUUCAUGACAUCCGGUGUUAUUCAAUCGCCAACGUUUGGGGUAGCAUAAAAAAAAAACAUUCUCCCAACCUUAUCACUAUUGCCAUGUGGCUGAUAGCUGUC